rnacentral:piRNA from 1 species
UCGGAAAAUUGACAUUUUGCC